UCAUAAUAGAAUUAAAGCAAAUCUAUUAAGCCGAUAAAGAUAGAAAGAACCUUUUGAACCCACCAGAAAAAAAAAUCAAGAGAUAAAGAAAAAACCUGAACAAAUGACCACCAUAUCAUAGAAAGCCAUCACCGAUCAAACCCGUCUCCGACAAAAUGAUACGUCCAUCUAGAUCAACAAACAGAGAAACUUUAAACAUGCAAAAGGAGAACAACAAAAGAAAACUAAGACUGGACCGAAGGUAGUUAUGGGAGCUCACACUGUCGACCGUCUCAACGAUGCAAAAAACGAAAUCUAUCCUAUACUAAAAGGAAGAUAUACUCAACUCUCAACCUGUCCACCUAGGAUAAAAAAAUUAGCCAAUCAUAGAAGUUUAAUUCGCCAUGUCAUAACUGCUUUAACGUGAUAUAACUUGUGCGAGAGUACUCAUUAUGGGCUUCUAAUAAUUUUUCCUGGCCAAUUUAAAUCAGCCCAAAUACUGACGAUAUCAUAUUACCUUUUCUGCUCUUCCACUUCACCAUCGUCGUUGCCGUUUCUGCAAAUCACCAUUUCUUAUGGAGUUAUUGCGAUUUACUCUCAAUAAUUCAAUCCAGAUCUUUACUCUUAUCUUGAUGAGCGAUGCUAUCCUUCCACCUCCCUUUUAUGUCUCCUCCUCUUAUAUGAAUCCUUUUGUAGACAAGCCUGCUAUGUUGUUUACUCCUCUUGCAAUUUUAGUUUUUUUUGUGCCCGUCGAAGCCAUGGCCUCAAAUCCAGACGGAUCAAAAUUAAUUAUCGUCAUGAAUCAGUGUUGUCUUCCACUACCUCCAUACAUAAGCUGAUGACUCCUUCCAGAGUUAAGACUUAUCCUCCAGCAGGUUUCCGCCGGCUGACCUACGUGGCUGAGAAGCGUCUCCGGCGAAGCUAUACUCGGUCGAGUUCAAUUUCGAUCCGAUACUUUUGAAAAGGUUAAAAUUAAGUUUCUCUUAUACUUUCAUCUCUUUAGAGUUUUGAUUGGGUACUGUCUGCAAUCUAGAGAUUGAUUUCAGAUUUUUCCCUUUUAAUAGCAACAACGAAAGGUAAAGGGAGCGAAAAGCAUGAACAUACCACAUGGUAAAACUUUUGAUUUUCUUCUGAAUUUUCUAAUAAUGUGAUAAAAUCUCAGUUUUUGGUUUAAGCCAGCGCACAUGGUUUUCAUGGACAGAGAUUAUACGAAGAAGAAAGUUCGAAGCUUAGUAGCUGAGUCUUCGAAGUUUCUGUACGCCAUUCCGGUGACUAAGACAAGAGCAUUCUGUGAGGUUCUCUCUAUUGUCUCUUCUCCCCUGCUAUUAAUAAUUGUAUCACAAACAGUUUGGCUCUGUUUAGCUGGAAUCACUUCAUGUGAUUCACUUGCAGGAGACAUGCCUGGCCUCAAAAGAUGUCAUGUCCUUUGAUUUGCUAAAAAAGAAGCUCAUGUUAAGAUUAGAUACACUUGGUAUAAAGACUAUCAAAGAGGUCAUUGUUAAUUCUCGAAUAAACUACAUGGAUGGUCAUAUAUCCCAGUCGGUGGUUCCUUGCCACACACUAAACAAAAGAAUCUUGCCCUUUGGUGUUGCAGCUAGAAUGGUACAUCCCUCAACAGUUAUAGCAGGUUAUUCAGUUGUGGCCUCUUUGUUUGAAGAUCCAGAUUACGCAUCAGACAUAUAGGAUAUACUAAAACAUGAUAUUACUUCCUUCACCAAACACAUCAACAUCAAUAUUUCAACACAAGGUGAUCUCUCCUUGACCAACUGAGUUUAUAGCU